rnacentral:rRNA from 1 species
CACAUGCAAGUCGAGGGGUAUAGUAGCAAUACUAGAGACCGGCGCACGGGUGCGUAACGCGUAUGCAAUCUACCUUUUGCAGAGGGAUAGCCCAGAGAAAUUUGGAUUAAUACCUCAUAGUAUAACGACUCGGCAUCGAGAUGUUAUUAAAGUCACAACGGCAAAAGAUGAGCAUGCGUCCCAUUAGUUAGUUGGUAAGGUAACGGCUUACCAAGACUACGAUGGGUAGGGGUCCUGAGAGGGAGAUCCCCCACACUGGUACUGAGACACGGACCAGACUCCUACGGGAGGCAGCAGUGAGGAAUAUUGGACAAUGGGCGCAAGCCUGAUCCAGCCAUGCCGCGUGCAGGAUGACGGUCCUAUGGAUUGUAAACUGCUUUUGCACAGGAAGAAACAACGCUACGUGUAGCGUCUUGACGGUACUGUGAGAAUAAGGAUCGGCUAACUCCGUGCCAGCAGCCGCGGUAAUACGGAGGAUCCAAGCGUUAUCCGGAAUCAUUGGGUUUAAAGGGUCCGUAGGCGGUCUUAUAAGUCAGUGGUGAAAUCUCCCCGCUCAACGGGGAAACGGCCAUUGAUACUGUAGGACUUGAAUUAUUAGGAAGUAACUAGAAUAUGUAGUGUAGCGGUGAAAUGCUUAGAGAUUACAUGGAAUACCAAUUGCGAAGGCAGGUUACUACUAAUGGAUUGACGCUGAUGGACGAAAGCGUGGGUAGCGAACAGGAUUAGAUACCCUGGUAGUCCACGCCGUAAACGAUGGAUACUAGCUGUUGGGCGCAAGUUCAGUGGCUAAGCGAAAGUGAUAAGUAUCCCACC